GCGUUUAAGGAGGUGGGGCGAGGCAGGGACUGGCGGACUGCGGCGCACUUCCCUAGAAGCGGACAUGGCGUGCGGCUUUCGCAGGGCUAUAGCUUGCCAGCUUUCCAGAGUGUUGAAUCUUCCACCAGAAAACUUGAUCACGUCAAUAUCUGCAGUUCCAGUUUCCCAGAAAGAAGAAGUAGCUGAUUUUCAGCUUUCUGUGGAUUCUUUGUUGGAAGAAGACAAUGACCAUUCAAGACCAGAUAUUCAAGUUCAAGCCAAGAGACUAGCAGAGAAGCUAAGAUGUGAUACAGUGGUGAGUGAAAUCAGUACUGGUCAAAGGACUGUAAAUUUCAAAAUAAACAGAGAGCUCUUAACAAAGACAGUGCUACUACAAGUAAUUGAAGAUGGCUCAAAAUAUGGAUUAAAAAGUGAACUUUUCUCUGGUCUUCCCCGGAAGAAGAUUGUGGUUGAAUUCAGUUCACCUAAUGUUGCCAAAAAAUUUCAUGUUGGACAUUUGCGUUCUACCAUCAUAGGAAAUUUUAUAGCAAAUCUCAAAGAAGCUUUAGGACAUCAAGUAAUAAGAAUAAAUUACCUUGGUGAUUGGGGCAUGCAGUUUGGUCUUCUGGGAACUGGCUUCCAACUGUUUGGCUAUGAGGAAAAACUGCAGUCCAAUCCUCUACAGCAUCUCUUUGAAGUUUAUGUACAAGUUAAUAAAGAAGCAGCAGAUGAUAAAAGUGUAGCAAAAUCAGCACGGGAGUUCUUCCAACGAUUGGAACUGGGCGAUGUGCAAGCACUUUCACUGUGGCAAAAAUUUCGGGACUUAAGCAUUGAAGAGUACGUUCGGGUUUACAAGCGUCUGGGAGUAUAUUUUGAUGAAUAUUCAGGAGAAUCAUUUUAUCGUGAAAAAUCUCAAGAAGUCUUAAAGUUGCUGGAGAGUAAAGGACUCCUGCUGAAAACAAUAAAAGGAACGGCUGUUGUAGAUCUCUCUGGGAAUGGCGACCCCUCCUCAAUUUGUACUGUAAUGCGAAGUGAUGGUACUUCUCUCUAUGCAACCAGAGAUCUUGCAGCUGCUAUAGAUCGAAUGGACAAGUAUAAUUUUGAUACAAUGAUAUAUGUGACAGAUAAAGGACAAAAAAAGCAUUUUCAGCAAGUAUUCCAAAUGCUGAAGAUCAUGGGAUAUGACUGGGCAGAAAGGUGCCAGCAUGUGCCCUUUGGAGUAGUGCAGGGAAUGAAGACUCGAAGAGGAGAUGUCACUUUCCUAGAAGAUGUUUUAAAUGAGAUUCAAUUAAGGAUGCUACAGAACAUGGCUUCAAUUAAGACAACUAAAGAACUCAAGAACCCACAGGAGACUGCAGAGAGGGUCGGGCUCGCAGCACUCAUUAUUCAGGACUUCAAAGGUUUACUCUUAUCUGACUACAAGUUCAGCUGGGAUCGUGUUUUCCAGAGUCGCGGGGACACAGGAGUCUUCCUACAGUACACACAUGCCCGCCUCCACAGUUUGGAAGAGACUUUUGGAUGUGGGUACCUGAAUGACUUCAACACUGCUUGUUUACAAGAGCCACAGUCUGUUUCAAUUCUUCAGCAUCUUCUCAGGUUCGACGAGGUGCUUUAUAAGUCAUCUCAGGAUCUUCAACCCAGGCAUAUUGUCAGUUACCUUCUAACUUUAAGCAUCUCACUCUGUUAUCCAGGCUGGAAUGCGAUCUUGGCUCACUGCAACCUCCACCUCCUGGAUUCAAGUGAUUCUCCUCCUGCCUUAGCCUCCCUAGUAGCUGGGAUUAUAGGCGUGCAACCUCAGGCCCAGCUAAUGUACAAAAUCUUAUGAAAUGUCAUUUUAUCAUUAAAACUGAUAUCUUAAGUAUCAUUUCUUCGACACGUUGUUAUACUUGAUGCCAUACCUAAAUUUAAAAAGAUACUUUAAAGAAGUGUGGCCAGUGUGUGUGGAGAGUGGAUAACUAGUUUCUACCCACCUCACUGUACAGAGGAAAAGGCCAUGCUGUGUUAUACAUUUGAUUGUAGGUUGCCUAAAUGAGGAAAAAUGAUUAGAAAAGAAUCCUUUAUAUUUGUAAAAUUAACAAUGAAAUCAUAAUCUUAAGAAUUGCCCACCUCUUAGUAGUAGAAUAGGGCCGAGAUCUAAAGCUUGAGUUUUGAAUUCCAGUUUCAACUUUACAGUUUCGAAUACAUCCUUUACUGGUUCUUUGCUUUAUUUAUUAAGUUGAAGGAGUAAGAUUAGGUAUCAAGCUCAUAUCUUACAACAGGAAAUUACUGCUGGUACCAUCGUGAUUUCUCUCUUCCUGUUUCAGUCAUCUUGCAGCUGUGGCACACAAAACACUACAAAUAAAAGAUAGUCCUCCUGAAGUGGCUGGGGCCAGACUUCAUCUUUUCAAAGCUGUCCGUUCUGUCCUAGGCAAUGGAAUGAAACUUCUUGGAAUAACACCUGUAUGUAGGAUGU